AUAAAGAACACAGUGCGUAACACAUGAUAAAAGCAAAAUACUACUACUAGUAUUUAAGAGAGAAGAAGACACUAACGCACGCUUUUAUAACCAAAAAGCUUCAACAUAACGCGACUGCGUUUGCGUUCAAUAAACCCUUUACUUUAAGGGCUCCGUUUCCAAACUUAGAAGGAAACAUAAAAGAUCCCUAAAAAGAAAAAAAAAUACCCGUUCCUCAGCCUCCACUGAAUAUGAGUGAGAAGCUCGUUUUCAGAAGCGGCGGCGACCGUUACUGCCAUGGAGAGUAUUUGGAGAAGAGACAGCUGUUUCUCAGGAGCUACCAGUUCUCCAGGAAACAGAGCUUCAGGGAGAAGGUUACUAGAUCUGUUAGGAGAGUGAAGAGGUUUGUGUGGACACAGCUGAGAUCCACGAGGAAGUUGAAACGCGUUUUCUGGUCUCGACUCAGAUCGGCGUUUUUCUACCGCCGCAGACGCUUUUUCCGUCUCCUUCAUUUGCACCAAGACGAGCCUUCUUACAACUGCUUCUAAAAGGUUUUAGAGAGAUUUGGGAAACGCUUGAGUCAGUGUGUUUGUUCCUAUCUUUGAUUAUGUUUUUUUUGCUUUUGCUCAAGUGAAUCAUUGUAUAAUCUCCGUUAAUCAGAUGAUUAGUAAGCUUAAUUGAAGUUUUAGAUUUUAUCAUUAUUUUCUUUCAUUAAAUUUGGUUUCUGGAAUGGGAAAAAUCAACAUAAGGUUUAUCGGUUGAGUGUGUACGGAGAAAAUCAUGCAAGAAACGUGAACUCGGCGUUGAAUCACAACUCAUUUUAAGACACGAAGUCAGAGAGUGGUUCCUCUUUGCGUGUCCCUUGGUCAACAAGUUCACAGCUACGUUUUCCUUCUAAUGGGCCUCAGUCUUAAGCAAAAUAAGCUGACUUUGGGCCCAUAACAUAUAGCGACAAUGUAACAGGGUCUCUUUCACAUGUGGCCAAAACCCAAAAUGUUGAAUCUCUUUUUCAAACAUCUCAUGACAAAAUGCUACUAUCUAGUAAACUUUGUUGCAGUAAACUUUUUUUUUGGAACAUUUUUUGGUAAAAUGUUAAAUAUUAUUACUAGAUUUUCAAUUUAAAACGGAGUUACUAGGAGAGAUGCGAAAAAUAAUCUAAACAAAGAAUUUAAACUGUGACAAAUACUAACAUGAAAGAACGAGAGAGCAAGGCAAAGAACUGGAUACCAACGAAGCAGUGAAGGGCCUACUCUUCAGAACAUUUUCUUGAACCAUAUACACAAAUAACUAUAAGAAAUAAAUAUAGGAGACUUUUGUCUUUCUCGUUUGAUCCUCUCUUCUAUUCAUGUGUUCCAAAUGAUUAGUUAGUGGCUUAUCUUCUCCUUUAUCUAUUAUUUAAGAUAUAAAACUUACUAAGAUUUAAUCAUUGCACAUGGCUCUCUAUUUUCUUAUUCACUAUGACACCAAUUCUUAAUAUUUUUUUCUCUGUUUUCUUUUGGUAUGUGACAGCCAUAGAUAGACACAUAGGUCAAAUACAUGGCAGCUGCAUGCAGUCUCUCUCUGACUUGUAUGGUUAAACAAGAACUGAACAAAACUCAGAAGAUUUGGGGAUUUGUAGUUUUUAAUAAAUACAAAGAAAGAAUAUAGCCAUGUGCUUUCAGAAUCUUUCCCUCACUCUCUUUAUCAUUAAAUGGAGCCCCUUAUUUUCUCUCAUCAGUCAUCAUCAAACUGAUCCUUGUUUGUUUCUCUUUUGAUUCACUUGUCAUUUAAGUGUUUUCUUAGUUUUAGAGCUACUUUCCGACCACUUCAUCAACAAAAUCUUUGAAAACAUAUUUUCCUUGUUUUGUAUCUUCAAGACAAAACAAUAAUUAGCUCAAGAUGUUGCGGAUUCUUUGUAAGUACCGGUCAAGAUCAUCGUUCCAGUACCAAAAGCUAAGUCAUCAUCACGAGAAGGUCACGACAAAACAUAACUUGGGGAAGAAGCUUGAGGGUAGGUCAAAAGGGUUUAGACUAAACCGACCAAGGAGGCUGGUUCUUAAGGCACUGGUUUUACCAAGAAGGAUCUUGAGCAUUUACGCGCGCAUCACAGAUAAAAUGAACAGAGAAGGUUUCUAUCCCAAUCUCAUUGUCUCUUCUCACUGGGGCUUCCCUAUUGUAUUAGAGAAGAAGCGCAUAUAGAAAAAGAGAGAUAAAAAACAGAGAAAUGAAACUGUAACCAAAUGCUACUUAUGAUGUUUAUAUGUUUGUGUCUGUUGCCUAAUAAUGAAACACGACUUUACAUUACUCAUGCUUGGUCCACAAGCUACACAUACCCCCACCCCCCACCCCCUAUACACAGACAUUAUAUUUGAUACAUUUUACACAAAUAUUUAUUAGUAAGCUAAGUGUGUAUCAAACUGAUCUUUGUACUGAGUUUAUGUAUAUCCUCCCUUUUUGAAUAUAUAUUUUUGAAAGUUUCACACUAAGUAGAGCUUUAGUCUCUUUAAGACAUGCGAAUGCGCCAUGUUAACUGCAAUGGCCAGUGAAACUCGAACUCGAGUUCCAAGUACACUAUAAAGCAUUUGUCUGGGAUUAGUUGUUGAUUCAACAAUACACGAGAUAGACUAGUAAACCCACUAAAACAUACUAUUAUUUAAUAUAAUUGCUGGAGAUUAAGCGUGACAGAUAAAGCAUCAAUUAAGGGAGAGCAAAAAGGCAAGAAAAGAGAUAACAUGAAAAAGGAGAUGACCACUUUACAGAACAUAAAAGACUUUACAAAACAGAAUGUGAUGAUAACUCGUUUUUUUAAAUAUGUACUAUAGUGAGAAGAACACAUUUAAAGAUGGAAGCUUGUCUGUAAAGUAACACUUUGAGAGAACCAAAAAGUAUCAUUAUAAAGCUGUAAAAGGGUUGGUGAAAGACAUUCUUGUAGAGAAGCUGAUGUGACAAGAAGAAACUAUUUUUCAGAAGGAGAAGGUUAUAUGAGGAGUUUGGUGUGUAAGAAGAUGUGGUGGGUUGUACAUGGAAGCACCAACAAGAGGAACUUACACCGCGAUUGUGAGAACAAGAGUAUAUGUGACUUGGGGAAAGACUUGGAUGAGAUACUAAAGGGGAGGCUAGAGACGAUAGAGGAGGAACCAGAAGCAGAAGAGCGAGAGCGGUUAGGAGAAUCGCAGAAGCCAAUGUUGGUUAAGGCUAAGAUGAAAGUGGAGAAGUGCAAGACAAUAGUAAAAGCUAAAAUGAAAAGUGGGAAAGUGUUUUACAUGUUGUGUAUUAUUGGUUUAGCCUCUAGACGAGGUUUUAAUGAUCUUGUUCUUCACUAAAACCUCCUCAACUCCUAAUUUUCUUCUUCAGAUUCUUGUAAUUUUGUUCUUUACUUGACUGUGGAUGUAUAUAUAGGUGAGUGUGUAUUUUUAUCUGCUAUACUUGUUGUGUAAUGCAGUUUUAUGUUUGUCUAUGUUUUGUUUCUUUAUUUCUCUGGUAGAGUAUUCUUUUAUGUAGCUCAAUACAUAGUAUUUGGUGCAACUCAAGCUGAGGAUUUAAUUUGUUGGCUUAUUCCUAUAAGAGCUUAUAUAUAUGUAAAAGAUACAACUGUAACUAGUUGUAACCUAGUAACUAGUAUUAACCUAUAGUACUGCUCUGUAUUCUACAUAUUAUAUUAACCUAGUAGUCAGAGCCCACCCGAUCUACGAAAUCCAACUUGAUCUUAACCGAUUAGAUCUAAAGUUGGUCCGUAGAUUCUUGUCCAUAUAAUUUCAAAUUAAUUGUCAGAAAACUAUUAUCUCGAGGAAACGUAUUAGAAACAAUGUUUCAUAUCAAAAGUUUGAAAAAAUCUUAACAAUAAAAAAUAGUUAAUUUAGUUAUAACCAAUUGAUUUUAGUUAAUUUAGUUAUAACCAAUUAGUUCAAAACCCAUAAAGAAGUGGGAAAUUAGGAAUAUACCUAAUACAGUAAAAGUAUGGCAGUUACUGUAGAUAAAGUGUAUGUAAAAUUACAUUUAGAACCCUUUGAUAUAUUGAGUUUGUAGGUCACAUUAGGUGCCCCGUAAGUUUAAAAAUAUUAUAAAAAUUUGGUAAGAUUACGAUUAAACAAAAAUUUCAUUUUUCUCUCUCAUGGUCCUUAUCUUCUUCUUUAUCUUCCUCCUCUGUUUCUUUUUUUUAUUACAGAAUCCCGACCAAAUUGUGGUGCCUUUGUGUUCUUGUUUUUGUCUUUGAAUAGUCUGGCUGUAUCGUGGUAAGUGGGAGAAGAACGAUGAACAAGAACGACAUCACUGUGUUUUGUUCCUGAACCUCCUUUUUUCACUGUUAGUCAAUCUAGUAGAGACAAUCGUGGCUCCGGCGGAGGGGAACCUUGCCUACUGUUAAGAAGAUGAGAGGACGACCUACUGGUUCUAGCAAAAGACAAAAGCUUCAAACCUUAUGAAACAUAAAUAAUUGUGUGUUGUUGUUGUUGGUUGAUUGUGUUGGUUGAUUGGAUGAUGAUUAGAACAGAAGAAGCCAUCUACUAAACUUCUUGCUGUCCCCGGAAAAGGAUUUUUCUUGGAUAUCUUUUUGGCGGACCAAGUGAUACUGAAUCGAGAGAAAACAAAAUUGUUAGCCGUUUAACAAUAGGUGUUUGUGGUAUUAAAUAUGUUAGCAAUUUUAAUAAAUUGUUAUACUUUAUUAAAUGUUUCGUGACUUUUGUUUGUUGGACAUGAGAUAUAAUGUUCGUAUAAUAGUUUUUUGUUCAUUUGAAA